rnacentral:snoRNA from 1 species
AAUCCAUGGUGUGGGCAUUGCUAUAAAAGUGAUUUGAAGCGAACCCAUGCUUCAUGAAAAUAUUCAGCAUUCUCUUGAUAAAAAUUAAAAAUUUCAACUUUUAAUUCU